AGCGCCAUCUUCCCUGAGGGGGCGUCGAGGAGAACUCAACAGCCCGAGCUGUGCGGUACAUCUUCCUGCACCUUCCUUCUAAAGUGUGCUCACGGGCAAGGCAGGGCAGCUUGCAAACUCCGUCCCAGAUUCAGUAUUAUUUGGAGACGACAUAAAACAGUGAGUUUUUUUCCGUACAGAACCACAAAACUGCAGGGGUCUCCUGGUGUCUGCGGUCGUUCGUUCACCUGCCCAAGACUCUGGAUGAAUGCACUGCCUUGGCCCCAGUUUAGGUGGCUGCACGCAAAAACUUAAUGAUGAAACAGCAAAUAGAGGAGGAAGUUCUUCAAAUCCAAAAGUCCCCAUCCCUUCCUCUGCACCGUGGAGGCUGUAGCAGAAGUGUUUCACUGGAGAAUUGUUAAAGGAGCUGGGCACUGAUGGCCUCCACGCUGUUCCCCCGCUUCAGAGGGGCCUGGCUUGGAAAGUAUUUUAUGGUCAGUGGAAAAAAAUGAGGAAGAGGAGGGUGUGGCUGCUGCUGGAAGGCUCUGGCUCUGCAGAGGGUCACUGCCUUGUGGACAUGGGACGUUCAUCAGGACAGAACGGAGCUGCCUUUUAGGAAAUGUGUGUUGAUCCUCUGAAGCCGAAUCCUCAGGCAUUUGUGGCCCGUCCUUGCAGCCCGGUCCAGCUGGAGCCCUUGGAAGCGCGUCACUCCCUGCGGAGCUGCUGCGCCAUUCCCGAGGCCUGCGGAUCCAGCGUGGAGAGCCCCAUCUCCAGCAGCCACCCAGGGAAAAGGGACUUCAGUGUGGGACAGAGCUCAGAUGUCAGUGCCCCUUCCGCCAUGGCCUAUCAGCCUGGAUGUAGUCGCCCUGUCAGAAGUAUGAAAUUUACAGCAGAAGAAUUAAUUUAACACCAAAAAAGCUCUUCCUCAUCUGAACUGUCAUUCAAAAUGCACAAUGAAAAUCACCAAGGAGAAGUUUUCUGUCCCACUGUCUGCAGGACUCCUGGAAGAAUCUUCUGAAACUUGAGGAAGUUAUCUAUUCCAAGAACUCUAAUAUACAAAGUCUUGUUAAGGUUAAAGUCUCUGCAGGCUGAAGUUCAUUUUUUGAAGAAGAAACACAGUUAACAGUAAAAUCAGUUCAUAAGUAGGAUAUUGGCAGCCUGGACGUUUCACUUCUUGCAUGUGCUCAGUUGGAAGUCAACUGAAAAUCAGCAGAAGCUUCCAGCACAUCUGUCUCAGACUGCCUUUAAGAAGAUGAAGCAGUAAUCUGGCAAAAUGAACUCAAAACACACAAGGAGGAGCCAUUGGAGACUCACCUGCAAGGUGUUCAGAUUCACUGAUAACAUGGAAACCAGAGUCUGUUACCCACUGGCUGUUCCAGAUACGAUGUCAAAGCCAACAAGGAGACUUGAAGUAGUGUGACUCAAAAAAGAAGUGUUUUGGAUCAGCAAGAAACAGUGAUGUUUUCAGUGAUGAAAAUGGCAGGACCACCGCGUUGGACCGAACUGCCCGGCAUCAUCUCAUAAAGAAUGACUUACUGGGGAACCAAGCUAGAAAAUGAAAGAAGUGAAGAUUGGUCAUCUCUGCAGAGGAAAUGACAAG